rnacentral:rRNA from 1 species
GACGAACGCUGGCGGCGUGCUUAACACAUGCAAGUCGAACGAUGAAGAAGAGAAACGCGAACUUCGGUUCAAAUUUCACUUCGGAUUAGUGGCAGACGGGUGAGUAACGCGUGAGCAACCUACCUCUUACAAAGGGAUAGCCUCGGGAAACCGUGAUUAAUACCAUAUGACACAUUCAUAAGGCAUCUUAAGAAUGUUAAAGCUACGGCGGUAAGAGAUGGGCCCGCGUCCCAUUAGCUAGUUGGUGAGGUAACGGCCCACCAAGGCGACGAUGGGUAACCGGCCUGAGAGGGUGAACGGUCACAUUGGAACUGAGACACGGUCCAAACUCCUACGGGAGGCAGCAGUGGGGAAUAUUGCACAAUGGAGGGAACUCUGAUGCAGCGACGCCGCGUGAGCGAUGAAGGAAUUCGUUUCGUAAAGCUCUGUUCUAUGGGAAGAAAAGGACUGUACCAUAGGAGAAAGCCCCGGCUAAAUACGUG